AUUGAACGCUGGCGGCAGGCCUAACACAUGCAAGUCGAACGGUAACAGGAAGCAGCUUGCUGCUUCGCUGACGAGUGGCGGACGGGUGAGCAAUGUCUGGGAAGCUGCCUGAUGGAGGGGGAUAACUACUGGAAACGGUAGCUAAUACCGCAUAAUGUCGCAAGACCAAAGAGGGGGACCUUCGGGCCUCUUGCCAUCGGAUGUGCCCAGAUGGGAUUAGCUUGUUGGUGGGCUAACGGAUCACCAAGGCGACGAUCCCUAGCUGGUCUGAGAGGAUGACCAGCCACAGCGGGGCUGCGACACGGUCCAGCCUCCUACGGGAGGCAGCAGUGGGGAAUAUUGCACAAUCGGCGCAAGCCUGAUGCAGCCAUGCCGCGUGUAUGAAGAAGGCCUUCGGGUUGUAAAGUACUUUCAGCGGGGAGGAAGGGAGUAACGUUAAUACCUUUGCUCAUUGACGUUACCCGCAGAAGAAGCACCGGCUAACUCCGU
rnacentral:rRNA from 1 species